ensembl:lncRNA
CUGUCUUUGAUAGCCAUCUGCCAUGGCGGGUGAGUGAAAGACCUGAGCUAACAUGGGGUUAGCUCAUUAAAUUACAAUAUAGCCUCGUGCAAUUUGCAGCAAGCUCUCGAAUCCGCCUGGUGAUUGGGAUGACCGUGGUCGUGACCUGGGACCCCGGAUACCUGAGUUUUCCGAAGGUCUAACAUGGCAGGGUCAGAACUUGUUGUGGCUUCUCACAGCCAAGAGGUGGAAGACCUCGUCAAGGCUUUCUGCUCCUGCCCUGCCAGCCAGGCAGACUCAACCCUACAGGGCUACCCCCAUCUGAUCUCCAGCCUGUCCUGAGCUGCAACUCCUUCGAGGGCGCCCUCCUCUACUGCUCCAUUCUCCAAUUUGCCUAACCCAGAAAGCAAGCCAAGCCGCAUGCCCGUCUGCACUCACACCCUUGCAGCCAUGCAUGUGCUUGGUACGUGAAGUCAGUGAAGCCCCUCCCCCUGGAGUCAUCCACCCGGCACCCCUGUCCAAGGAAAAGUGACCCCUUUGAACUUUCUGGAGUACGGAGAGCUUUAUUCGUCUUCAGUUUAGGGAGGAGAGAUUCAGAGAAUGGGAUGUGACUUGUGGAAGACUCGAGGCAGUCCAGGAAACUCUCCCUGGACCUGGGGCUCCUGGCUGUCUCUUACAGCCAUGCUUGUCCCGACUUCUGAGUCUGAAACACUCUAUCUAUGACGGAGGUGGAGAGAUAGGUUCCACGCCACAGAGACCUAGCCCGAAGAAGAAGCGGAUGGGGGUGAUGGGAGUAUGGAACGGAAAUCCAGGUAGGCAUUAGAGGCGGCCACACGGCCCCAGCUGGGGGACCAAGCCCCAGGUCCAGAUGCGAUGCAGAGCCUAAGCAGCUGUUGUGUGAGGGUUAUCCUGCCCUGAGCCCCACACAGCUGCCAGAGGAGCAGGUUAGGUUCGUCAGCCAGCAGCUGGACAUCAUGUCCAGAGUUCAGCGAAAAAGUCUACAAUGCGUUUUAAACCUACAUCUGAGAAGCCCCUGGAGCCAGGUGUGGCGCCUCAGACAAGUGAUCCCAACACUGUGAAGGCUGAGGCUGAAGAUUAAGAGUUUCAAGCAUUGAGACCCUGUCUCAAAGACACCAAAGGUGUGGGGGUGGAGAUGGGGGGGAGGGCUCUUUGUAUAAAAACUGUUCACUACAUAAGCAUGACAUACAGGGUUACAGCCCCAGAACGAACAUUAAAAAAAAAAAAAAAAAAAAAAAAAGUUUAAAAGCCAGAUGUGGUAGUGCAUGUCUGUAUCCCCAGCACUUCUUCAGUGAGACUGGAUGAAGAGACAGAAGAAUGGUCUAGAAGCUCAUCGACCAGCUAGCAAGGGGUACACAGUAUAGACGUGGAAACAAGAGAGCCUUUGCCUCAGUAAGGGAAAGUCGUCCUCUGACCUCUACACACAUGCUGCCCCCCAUAAUUAAUUUAUUUUCAAAAAGCAAAGAGGAAGGGCCUGGAGAGGCAGGUCGGUAGCUAAGAAUGCUUGAUUCUCUUGCAGAGAAGUAGAGUUUGGUUUCUAGCACUGAUACCAGGCCUCUCACAACUUCCUGGAAUACUAUCUCCAAGAGAUUUGCUUCCUUCUUUUAGCCUCCAUGGGCACCUGUAAGCAUGUGUUCACACACACACA